rnacentral:rRNA from 1 species
AGGACGAACGCUGGCGGCGUGCUUAACACAUGCAAGUCGAGCGGAAAGGCCCUUCGGGGUACUCGAGCGGCGAACGGGUGAGUAACACGUGAGCAACCUGCCCCUGGCUCUGGGAUAGCCUCCGGAAACGGGGAUUAAUACCGGACAUUCUCCGCCUUCCGCAUGGUUGGCGGUGGAAAGUUUUUUCGGCCGGGAGGGGCUCGCGGCCUAUCAGCUUGUUGGCGGGGUAACGGCCCACCAAGGUGACGACGGGUAGCC